rnacentral:rRNA from 1 species
UAAGGCCAGCGAGAGAACUAUUGUUAAGGAACUCGGCAAAAUGACCCCGUAACUUAGGGAGAAGGGGUGCCUGUCUAUGACAGGCCGCAGAGAAUAGGCCCAAGCGACUGUUUACCAAAAACACAGGUUUCUGCUAAGUCGCAAGACGAUGUAUAGGAGCUGACGCCUGCCCGGUGCUGGAAGGUUAAGGGGAUCUGUUAGAGCAAUCGAAGCAGUGAACUUAAGCCCCAGUAAACGGCGGCCGUAACAAUAACGGUCCUAAGGUAGCGAAAUUCCUUGUCGGGUAAGUUCCGACCCGCACGAAAGGCGUAACGAUUUGGGCACUGUCUCAACAAUAUACUCGGUGAAAUUGUAAUCCCAGUGAAGAUGCCGGGUACCUGCGACAGGACGGAAAGACCCCAUGGAGCUUUACUGUAGCUUGACGUUGGGUCUUGGUACUACAUGUACAGGAUAGGUGGGAGACUAUGAAGCAUGGACGCCAGUCUGUGUGGAGUCAUCCUUGGGAUACCACCCUUGUAGUACUGGGAUCCUAACCAUAGGCCUUGAAUCAGGUCUUGGAACACCGUCAGGUGGGCAGUUUGACUGGGGCGGUCGCCUCCUAAAAAGUAACGGAGGCGCUCAAAGGUUUCCUCAGCACGGUCGGAAAUCGUGCGAAGAGUGUAAAGGCAAAAGGAAGCUUGAUUGCAAGACAUACAGGUCGAGCAAGGACGAAAGUCGGACUUAGUGAUCCGGUGGCACCGCAUGGAAGGGCCAUCGCUCAACGGAUAAAAGCUACCCUGGGGAUAACAGGCUUAUCUCCCCCAAGAGUCCACAUCGACGGGGAGGUUUGGCACCUCGAUGUCGGCUCAUCACAUCCUGGGGCUGUAGUAGGUCCCAAGGGUUGGGCUGUUCGCCCAUUAAAGUGGUACGCGAGCUGGGUUCAGAACGUCGUGAGACAGUUCGGUCCCUAUCCGUCGCAGGCGUAGGAAAUUUGAGAAGACCUGUCCUUAGUACGAGAGGACCGGGAUGGACGUACCUCUGGUGUACCAGUUGUUCUGCCAAGGGCAUGGCUGGGUAGCUAUGUACGGAAUGGAUAAGCGCUGAAAGCAUCUAAGCGCGAAGCCAACUUCAAGAUAAGAUUUCCCACCGUAAGGGUAAGACCCCAGGAAGACUACCUGGUUGAUAGGUCGAAGGUGUAAGUGCAGUAAUGUAUUUAGCUUAUCGAUACUAAUAGGUCGAGGACUUGACC